UGAAAACUCUUGUGAGGUGCUUUGGAGUA
rnacentral:piRNA from 1 species